UUCUCGCAUCACUCGUAUACAGGUCCCUACUCCACUGCAUUCUGAAUAUAAAUACAUCACAAAUCUCUUCACAUCAAUGCAAAGGAAAAAGUGAAUACUAUAUACCAAGCAUUAUCAAACACUUUCCAACCAUGAAGGCCAUUUUCUUUGCUUUCUUACUCUUUGCUUCUCUUUUCUUCCUUCUCACUUCAACUCUCGCUCGAGAACUCAAGGAAGGAACAUUUCAGACAGGACAUCCUAAUAAUCCUGCUGUUAAUUGUACUCGGGGUCAUCGUUAUGCAAGUUGCCUUCCAAAAUCGACUCCACCAUCACCAACAUGCUCAUCUUAUUCACGCAAUUGCUGAUAUAUCUGAAUGAAUUAGAUAGUUUUACCUGUUCCUGAUGCCAUUUAAUACUAGCUAUGUUAAACCAUGGUGCUACCAUCUCUAUGUUUUGCCUUAUUUGGCUGAAUAAUGUGUUUUUCCAGUUUGCUAUUUAAUAAAGGUUUGGCCUAGGCCAUUUCAAUA